ACAAUUUAAAAUGUUUAAUAAACGGUUACCGGUGCUCCAAUAAUGUUUUUCUAAAGUGCUAUUUAAGUAUUAUUUAAAUGAAACCGAAUAUGUUUAAAACCUUUGACAAAAAAUCACUUUAUAUUUAUUAGUGAUAAUAUUCUUUUUAAUACUGUAAUGGAUCACAAUAAUAUGAUUGAUUGCACAAUAAAUAACAAUGAUACCGAUAUUGAAAGACAAGCAGUGGUUUUAUCGACUGCGACAAGGCAUUGGGCCAGUUUUACACCGACCGCUCCAAUGCCCUCGGCGUCCCGGCUCCGGGCCGCCCAGCCGUCUCGGCAGCUCCCGCUCAAGAUGGUCAUAUCGGACGUCGCUCAACGCAGCCAUGCAAAGAGCAGUCCACAGGAAUCCACAUCUCAACAAGAAGAUAAUAAGCUCAUAGAAAGCUUGAUUGAGGAACCUGCAGACUUUGAAACUAUUAAACGAGCCUAUGAGCUGUCACUACCAAGACCUUCAAAAAGGAUUUGUAAAAAGAACCACGAUCAGCAUUUGCCUGACUCUUCAGCCUUCACGAGUCAGUUGGUUGGAAAACAGAGAUUUCUGUUGCCAUGGAAUACCCAGGAGAGUGUUGGGAAAGGAAGCUCUCUGUCAUUCGAUUUUGACGGAGAAGAGUUUUAUCACAACCCUCAUGACUCAUCAGAAGCUGAUGUUUCUAGCGAGCUCUCAACUCCUUUAGCCACUGAAAUAUUUCAGAAUCUAUACGGCAAUGAUCUACCAAUAAAACCUAAAGCCAUGCAAACAAGAGAACCGCAAAGCAAGAUAUUUCAAACAUAUUUAAGAAAUUUACCUCAAGCAAGAUCUUUGGAUAAAGGACACAGUAUUCAACCAGAUCGUUCAAAUGUUAAUGAGGAACACUGUCCUCCAAAAUGCAAUGGCACACAAAGAAAUUUCACUAAAACAAGUGAAUUUGUGAAACCAAAAUUUUUCAAAUACUGUGAGGAAAUAGUUCCUGGUGAAGAUAAGAACCCACAAGUAGCAAACAAUUAUUUUUCAAGCAGUGCAGCUACAGUCUCACGCAAAAGAAAAGUUGACGAAUCACAAUCACUUCUCAAUGUUGGUGAAUGCUCGCCUGACGAACCAGCCUCAUCAAAAACAGAAAUUGACCAACGAACAAAAAAUAUUAAUGUUUCUUUCAACUCGUACUACUAUAAUUUCCUAACUCUUUCUUCAAACAUAAAUAAGGAACCACAAGAGACUCUGCCAGCUAUUCCCAGAGAUAGCAAGCAUGACGAGUCAUUUGAAAACCUUCAAGAACACGUCUUGAAGAAUAUAUGCUUUUCCGACAAUGAAGAUUCUCAAAACUCUGAAGAUAUAUUUACAGAUGAAGAGGAGUAACUAAUUAAGUUAUUAGUAAAAAGCUACUAAUAUUUUGCAGUUUUGUGCAUAAUUACUAGGGACAAGAUUAUAUGGUUAUUUGCGAUAAAACCAAAGUAACACCAAAAAGCAUGUAUAUACACCAGUUUCCAUAUAUUAUCUAAAUGCAAGCUAAACUACCAUAUAGCACCAAAAUACAAGUUAAAUCAUAAAAUGAAGCAGCAUUUAAUCACUUCAAUAAAAAAUUUUAAUCUUUUGUUUAAAUAGGAAAAAUGUUUGUACCAAAGUGUACAUAGAUUAAAAAAAAAUUUAGUUUGAUGAUACUUUUAUUGAAUCAGUUUUCAACAAUUUAUGUUUCUACAUUUUUCAAACACAAAAUUUCUUGCUGAUGAAUUAUUAUUGUUCUGAAGAAAUGCCUUGGAUCAAUUUUUCACUUAUCAUAAAAAUUUUGCAUGUCAGUAUUUUACUAUUUUGGUAGAAUAAAUCCUGUGAAACAUUUUAAUGAUAAAUUUGUCAAAUAAUGUACUAUCUUUAAAAAUAAACAGAAUGGACAUCAAAACAAUACAUAUUUCACCUGCUUAAAAACAUAAUUGACCUAAGGAAAAAACAUAAAAUCUUGUCUCUAAAAAUGAUGUUAAGAAACUGAGUUCUACUUUUCGGAGACUAAUAUGAUUUUAGAUGAUUAAUAGUAAGUUAUAAGCUGGUUAUAAGUAAACCUGUACGUGUGCAGUUUUGAUGCAGGCUCACAUAGUUGAUCAACAAAGUUGUUUCCAGAGCCGAAAGUGCAUCAAGUGAAGGGUCCAAAACUAUUUUGGCAUAUGGAGGGGGUGGGAGCCAACAGGGUGUAAAUCACCAGGCCUCUCCCAUUCAAACACAGGGGUGACACUUCACGACUUUCUCACCCCACACACAUUCUUUAUCACCGUAGAGUACCAGCAGCACACAGGCGAAGGUACCGUCUGUAUUCUUUACAAACGUACUUCGUCUUUAUGUUGUGCUGUGUAAAAUUCAAACAACGUUAAUAUAUUUCUUUGCUAUAUUUUGAAAGCUCAAGUUAUCAGAACAAUUUUGCAGAAAACCAUUACUAUAAGAUACAAAAAAUUUUGUAUGGCCAUGUUAUGUUCAUAAUAUUUUUCCAUUUUUUAUUUUUAUUUAAAAGAUACUGAUUUCAAGAAAGAAAAAAGGUCAUUUAUAUCCCUGUACGUGGUGUGGUGGUGGUUGUAUAGCAUGACAUACGUAUUUUGUUUUGCAUCUUGUUGAUGGGAGAUUGCGAGAGAUAAAAACCAAUGAAAAAGGUGUGCAUCAAAAGUUUUCCAUUCUCUCAGCAUUUUUCUUGCUAUGUAAAUUGAGCUAUAAAUUGCUAUUCAUAAUUUUGUUCACCUGACAAGCAAAAUAAUUUUCCACUAAAAAACAUUACCUUGUUGAGCAACUUUUAAAUUCUUUCCUUCAAAGUACACCUGGCCACAAUCCCAAUUUUUUUUUUUCGAGAAAAAACUGAAACGUAUAUUUUCCAAAACGUCUGGUGGGAAAUUACUGUGGUAGUAUAUGUGUCAUGCCUAAAUUGUUCUUAGCAAACAGUGGUUUAACCUAAAUUUAUACAUGCACAUGAUCGAAAACAUACCAUUCUAAGCAGUUCAAACUUAAAACUAGUAAUGGUGAUGUAAAAACAUUCUCAGGUACAAUCGUAAACAGGCAUUUUAUUCAGCAUUCUAAAACAUACAACAAAUAAUCAAUUAUUUCACAUGUCACAAAAUGAUAGUGGGAGGAACCUCAUCCAUGAUUGAAAAUACAAACUACCUAGCAUGUUCCAUGUUUGUUUCGUAAUAAGUACACGCAUGAAAAAAAGUCUACGAACGUGGACAUCCCCAGAAAAAAACACGAGAACUUAUGCUAUGAACAAAAUAUGAAGCAUAAUAGUUGAACACCUUGCUGCAUUUAUCUCUUGACACUAAAAAUGUUUUUAACUUGCAUCUGGAAAGCAAAACAAAUAAAUGUUAACUUAAAUAAAAGUGCUAGAUUCUAUCACACCCCAAACAUCCUCGGCUAGCUCACAAUUCGGUCUGAAGUAGACAUACAUUAAACACUUGCAAAAAAAUUAUUUGGGUGCCGAAAAAUAUAUAAGUUCUUGCAAAAUGUUACUAUCGUCGAUUAGUGUAUUGGGACAAUGUCUCGGACACCAAACUGAUUUUAACUUAUUUUUAUUGAUACUUAAAGAAGAUUCACAGUCAUUUUGCGAGCAAUCUUGCGACCACACAAAACAGUACAUUUGGAGUAUAAAACCUUUACACAUAACCUCUUUCCAGACUUCCACAAUAACACAUAUGUUGACUAUUCGCAGGUACCGAAAGAUAAUUAAUUAUUACUUUACAAGACAGUUUGCACUAAUGUCCCGUCGUUACACACAAACUCACGGUAUGAAGCUGCAGGACUACGUCCUCGGAACAAAGCCGCGAUCACCCAAGCCUUAUUUUUGGGCGAUUACCGACGACUGUGGUCGAAAAUUCUAAUUGCAAAGUCCAAAUGAUAAAAAAAUGUUGAUCUGACACGGUGGUGCCCGGACCACAUCCGCGUGAUGCUUCAUUCAACUACAUAACUGCAUACUUCUUGAGCCACUGCCCAAUACGCGGCCUAUCAGUACCUCGUCCAGACACUGACUGACGAAAUACAGCACAUCACAAAACACUGAAAUAUUUCAGUUAGCUGGAGACUUUCCCAAAAUACUGCCUUAUGAUUGGCUGCAACAUUUACUCUUACAAUUAUAAUGAAGUAUACACCCCCCCCCCCCCCCUCCCACCUUUCCCCUUCUUCGACGGCUUCCCAUCGUUUGGUCACACGUCUCUGCCCUCCUCCCACACCUUCCAUCUCUUUUUAACUUCACACAGAAUUUGAGGACUCCCGUCAGAUAUUACCAUACAACCUAUACAUGUAUGUCCCUCCAAUGAUGACGCAACUUACCGAACUAUUGCAUCAGCCAACAGCCUAACCUCACACAAAGAACUGGCCAUGCCAAAAAAAUGAGAAUGGAAAAUUACGUUAUCACACAUUUUACAAAGUCAAAUAAACCAUACUGAAUAAUUAUAUGAAUGCAUAUAAAAACUAAAUAAGUAGGUCAAACUUAAGUAAAAAAUCUAGUUCAACCACUUAUUCAUAAUGAAAUAACUAUCAGAAACAUUAAAUAAACAUAAAACAAUAUAAAUUAUGAUUAUAAAAUAAUUUUAAACACAAAAAUUCUCCUUAGAAAGAAUAACAAGCUGUUACUUCCAUUAUACCAAAGAAAACUAACCUUAGCAUUUACUAUAAGAUAACAUAAUAAAUUGUAAAUUAAACAGUUAUCAAGUGGGAAGGGCAGUAACCUGGGUUGCUACAAUUUGAGUGGAAAUUACCUGUAAAUGUGUUUGCAAAAUUGUAGAUUGUGGCCAUUAAAAAUAACUAAACCAGUGAAUAACUCUAGUUAAAAGUGUAAACAUGAGCUUAUUUUGUUACUACGUAUAACACAAAUUAGAUUCUUUGUUUCAAUUUUGCAAUUAUAAAAUAUACAGCUCAUGAAGAUAAACCUACCUCUAUCUAUUUAUAAUCACAACAUAUGGGCCUACACAGUAAAGGAGACACAAUUUUCAUUUGUUAAAGUAUAGAAAUUUUUUAAUUUGUGGCUUCAAAUAAUUCUUGAUCCCGUCCCGUUUCCUGCUGGGAUUAUCUCGCCCAGCUAUAUUUUAAAGGCAUCGUGCUUAACAACACUCGGUCCAACCUCUGCUGUUUCACUGCAUGCAGUCUGCACUGCCAGAGUAUUGGACACAGACUGUCACAUCCACUAGUUUCUCCAUGCUCACCACUUGAUUACUUAUCCUACCACUAUACAGCUGCAUCACUCUGUUCAACCUUCACGAAACACAGCCCAUAAGUAUAAUGUUCAGUUGAAUUGCUACUUUAAGGGGAUUGGUGCACCAGCAUCGAAUUAAAAAAAACAAUAUAUUUGUUAAUGAUUCAGCUGCUAGAGAAGAUUUGAACCAUUCUGGUGUAAAAUUUAUUUUUUUAUUUUUUUAUUUUAAUUAAGUUAUUGCUGAUUUUCGGGAAUUUUUUUAAAUUCAAGCUUUAUUAAAAAACUAUAAAGAAUUCAGUGGUAAAACAUUCGCAGAUAAAUUUUCAGACACGGGAGAUAUGACUGUGACCAUUAUUUUAUCUGUAAUCAUUAUUAAUUUAACGUAUUUACAAUUUGAAUUUUAAUAAAUAAGCUGCUACGAAAUUACGUGAUAUUCAUUUGCGAAUUUAAUAACAUUCGCGUUUUCAUUUGUAAUUCAAACGCCUACAUAUAUGUCGGCUGAAUGAUUGACUUUAUUUUAGUCUUUAGCUUAUUGCAGUCGGACCUAAAGUAAAAAUGUAGCUGUAGAAAUUUGAGCAGCGUGCAAGCUCGGAUACGAGGAAUUAUGGAGCGCGCUGGACAGUAGUGACACCUUGCGACAGUUUUCCAAACUUUUUGCAGCUCGUUCCCACUCUGCCACAGCUGUCUGCUGUUUACGAAGAGGAGACGGGAUUUCGCGGGAAACUGAUAUGAAGGUCAACGUACUCAUUUUCAGUAGAUAAGAGAACGUGUUUGGUUUAGCUCGGCGUAUAAUUGAAUGGUUAUUCUCUGUUAUUAUUUAGCACAGUGAUUUAGCUAGAUGUUUUUUGUUGCAAGCGUAAGAUUUAUUCAGGAAUAAAAUGCAGAAGAAACCUCCACCAAGCAGAGUACACAAAAUAACAAAACUAUCGAAAGCCAUUAGAGCGCUUCGAAAAAAGAAUAAAAAAAUAAGAGAUUAUUUUAUUAUAGCUUUUUUUACCAUAUAUUUAUUUUUCAGAGUUGCGUAUGUACAACGCGAUGGACGCGAUGCGACAACAAAAAGAUGUGUAAAAUUUUAAACAUGUUUUUUUUUGUUUUUUCAGCAAUGCGUGAACCAUUCAUUAACUAUACUCAACAUGUAUCCGUAUAAUUACGUUUGAGUUUUUUUUCAUGACAGGCACCAAUGUUAACAAGUUUAUUAAGCCACAAUAGACUUUUUUCAGAAAACUACAUGUAGCAGAAAACACUCAACAUAGUCUCACACAAAAUCAGUUUACAUGAAUGCAGUUUUAAGAAGUAAGCUACGUAAAUAAUAGUUAAAAAUUAUUUAAUAUCUGCUGGUAACGUUUCCAAAGUAUCAGCUUCGCCUUCAUUCACGAACAAUAUUCGUGAGCUUAUUUAUUUAUUAUGCUGGCUAUUCGUUGGUGACUGUUAGGACUGCAAAAUUAGUAAAUAUUUUUCACCCUAUCCUGAGUUAAAUCUAAGUGUGCGCAGUUAGAUGAGGACCUAGAUGUGUCUCAGGCUUACGCCUUUACACUCUACUCAUGCGGGGUAUUAACCAUGCGCGUAAGGGCGCGUUGCCAUUGACCUGUAGGAUAGUCUCAACAAUCCUCUACGAACUCGAAAAAUGUCACCUGCUCAUUGGCUACUUGACUUGUGACAACUGUUUGUUGUAAUGCCUGUGAUUCAUCGUUGAUUUUGUUGAGGAGUUUUCAGUGAUUCAGAGCCUCCCAUUUAACUGUGGCCGAAUUGAAGAAGCAGUACACAUGUUACAUGCUUGAAUUCAUAGCGAAUGGAAACCACAAAUAUUUACUGAUGUAGUGGUUGGUAAAAAAAAAAUAUUAUUUGUAUCGCGUCCAUUGCUUCGCGCCAUUAUGGCUCCUAUAUUAUAUGGAUUUAUAAAAUAUAACGAUUCAUUUACGACACUUAAGAUAAGGUGUGUAGGAUUUUAAGAAUUCACUUGAAUUAAUAUUUAAGAACAUAUUUCAGGAUAACUUGUGAAGACGCUCGUACAGACGGCACCGGUUGUGAUGACUCAUUGUUACCAGAGCAGGGGCCAUGCAUGUGAAACCUCAACACAACUCGAAAAUCAGUUGUCUUGGUUUCCUGGAGUAACACGAAAGUCUACGCGGGGAAGUGCGGCUACCUGAUCCGAGAAAGAAGGAUAGUGCGAGAUGGGAAGCGAAGAUAGGAGCUGGUUGGGUGUCCGUGUUGGAGAGAGAGAGAGAGAGAGAGAGAGAGAAAGGCGAUAUUGUGGAAGACCUUCGAAAGAUUCCCGCUAGAUGGCAGGCCUCAGAGCUGCAACAUUCGACAACCUCCCCUCACAGAAGCUCUCUCGCCACUAACUUGCCAAAUCUCACCCGCUAGCUUAUAUACGUGCUGGCUGGCCAUACAGUAGUAAUAAACAAGCAUUUAUGAAACACUUAAGCUCAUUUCCAACAAAUUCUGACGAAUGACUGGUUUUUGUCCUGCACCAAUCCCCUUAAGUAGCCCAUCUUGCGUGCUACAGAUAGAAACCAAUGAACAGAUUUGUUUCACGUGUAUUUGUUGACUCUUGAGUGUCAGCUUGAACCAGCGACAGGAUUUGAUGCAUUGAUUUGAAGUUUGGCUAUAGUGUCAUUCAAUGCGAGGAUGGUGCAUGAUGUAAGUUAGCAUUUUAAUUUCAUUUCAAUUUGGCUUUUAAAGCCUUUAAGAAAUGUACCUCUUAGGGCUGGUCCCUUUGAAAAAUGUGUAAAGCAUAUUUUAUUGCAUGUUCUCUUGUUUGUUGCGAUCAGCAUGUUUAGCCUCCUAUAGCAUAUGCAAGCCUGUACAUUUUGUAUUUACUUAAUAGCAAAUAUUUACCAGUUUUGAAUUUUGUAUAAGUUAGGUGGUGCUGUUGCAGGACUUACCGUCAACCCUCAUGGGUGCAGUCUGUAAUGAUCUGUGAAUGCUUAUUUUGAAGGAUAGUUUGUAAUGAUAGUUUAUUAUACUUUCAGUUGAGUCCUUUCGUUUAAUUAAGUGAUUUUAAAAUAAGCAUAUUCAUGUGUUUACCUGGUACUCUCUAGACAGGGUAAGUAAGUUGAAUUUGAUUUGUCUUGUCAAAAGCUGAUGCAUGUUGAAAUUGCAGAGUCUUGUAACUUUUUGUAUUUCUUGGAGGCCUGGAUAUUAGAACAGGGCGCGUAAAGUCACAAUUUAGUGUGUAACGAGUCAAAGACUUGAAGUUGUGUGCCAUGUAUAGACUGUGAUUUUAUUUCAUUUUAUUUUAGAUUUUGUACCACAUGAUAAAACUUUAGUGAUCACCUUGUGUGAAUAAUAUACAGUUGUUUGUUCUAGUGCAACAGCCUGUACAGAGGUGAGCCUUCUAACUUUUGAUUCAUGCUUUUUCAUGUUGUGUGUGUGGCGUUAAUCGUCUAUUUUCAUAAACCUACACCCUUUCAAGGUAAAAGUGAAUCAAGUUUAGGUCUCCUGAUGACUCUACACGGUAAGUUAUCGAGACCUGUUAAAGAGGACAUUUGGUUAACAGCCACCAAACUUUUAACUGCAGAUAUUUCUGAGCCAGAACUUCGAACGGGUGGGGUUGGUACUUCUUGAAUAGACUGUAUAUACACUCGUAUCCAACUUCUGCACUGCGCGAAUGUGAAUAAUUCUUGCAUGUAUGGUUAUUGAAGGAUGACACAACAUUUUAAAGUGUGUCUGCAUUAUCUUUUCUCCCGCCCCUGGUAAAAAAAAGGAGGGUAGCAUGUGGCACUAAUAUUUACGAUAUGCGUGGCAACUCAGCCCGUGCAUCCCGUUAUGAUACAGAAAUCUGAGCAGGUUGUUCACCGACAUUCCGGAUGUUAAUGUACACAAGCCAUUCUAUUCCAAACAGUUUUGUAGCCAGCCAUUAGUCCUUUGUUGUAGGCUUGGUGUGUUCGAGGUGUCUUUAUCCUGAACAAACAGAUUAAGUUCUUACAGUUUGUUGCAAUCAGUGAUAUCUUAUUGUGUGUUUGAUUCUACAUAGUUGUUGUGCAACAAUGGCUACGCAUAAGGCUGAGCCUGCACCCCUUCAACAAAAACUGCCUGGUGAGUUACAAGCCAGCUGUAAAGUUUUUCUACCAUUCAUUACAUACUGGGUUGUAUUUCUUAAAAUUAGAAUACUUACCUAAUUAGAAUUUUAGUGUGUAUUGAUGUAGUCAAAUUACAAAAAGCAGGCAUUUUUGGAAGGUCUAGGAAUGUAACGCGAGACAUUAAGGGGCCCGCCUCGUCAGGGGUGUGUGUGUGUCAGUGAGGCUGGAUGAUAAGCGCGACGCUCGCUGGUGCUUCUAGCGCGGUGUCUCCUCUGGACUGGCGCGCUGUCUUCUCGUCGUCACAGGAUAACUGUUAAAUUUGAGCGGUGACCAUUACAUUAUAUGGCGGAAAAAUGAAGAUAAAGGUGUAAUGCAAGUCCUUUAAGUGCUUUCAAGAAUCUGUACUGGUUGUUUUACGCCUAAAAGUUACUCUGAAAACAUGCGUUUAAGCCAUUUUGACUCUUCUAAAAAUACAGUUUAAAAACAUAAUCCGAAAUCAAAAGUACUUUUCGGUCCUCAGCGAACUCUUAAAUGCUUUUCGUAAGCAGAGCCCACUCGGAUAUCUUGUGUAGUUUUGAAAUCGCGUUGUUUUUCCUGAAGCUCUGCACACCGUAUGUGUGCCCGGGUAGGCGGGCCCCUUAACAUUGUUUCUUGUGAGAAAACAUUAUUUAAUUAACCGACUAUUUCUGGGAACGUAACCUGUCCGUUAAUCAAGGACUUUCAUUACCAUCACAAAGUUUACAACUCAUACAUGCAUUUCAGACCCAUUUCCCAGAAAAGAAAUGUUGUUGGUUAUAAAAUCAUUUGGAAUUGACGUGAAUUUAUCCUCUGUGUAUAGUGUUAAAUUUAUUCUCUAUUUAGAACUACUUAGGUAUGUACAAGUUAUAAAACCAAGUGUUUAGUAUUAGUAAAUUGAUAUAAUGAAUGAUUAAAUUUUAAUUGAUUGUAAUUUUCAUUUUAUAAUAAAAUCUCAUUUCUAUGACUUUUCAUGAUUCC